UUAAAGUAUCUAUACAAUUAUUUUAUUAAAGCAUGAAUUAGCUGAGCUCUUAAAACUGCCCAAAAAUAAAAACCAAGCUCUUAAAAUUCGAGUAUUUUUAUGAAAUGUAUUGCAGUUGAUUUUGCCCAGACUGUACUUGGCGAGGUAGUCUUCAUUUAUUUUUUAUAAAAAAGACAUCAAAGGGUUUUAAAGUCGAUACUGAUUUGAUUGCUAACAGAAUGUUUUAAAACAAUAGUAAGGUUAACUGAAAUCACUACUCUAAAUUCAAGUUCCUAAGGUCUGAAAUCGAAUAACGAUUGUAGACAAAGGAAAAUGCACCCCCCUCCCCAUAGGCAAUAGAAUGUUCUAGAAAGAUUUUUGUCCGCCCAAUUUUCAGCUUUAAAUCAAGUGGCAUAUGGUCUAGAAUUCUAUGAAGUUAAUUCAACAGGGGCUUAAUAGGGAGAUACUAAUUUACCUCAUCCCUUGGACGAGACAGUUCGUCCUUCAAUUUGAGUGCACAUUAUUCUAGGAGGAAUUAAUUUCAGAGAAUUUUCUACCUUAAAUUCAGUUAUACAAGGUUUAAAGUUUAGUAACAUUAUCGGAAGAGGGAUAAUUCAGCCCUCAUCCCACAGAACGCCAGUAAUUGCCUGAAAACAAAUGAUAUACGGAAUUUUCUCCUUUAUAUCAAGUUCCAUAAUGUCUAAAAUUCUGUGAAUUUGCUCAAAUAGGGGAUAAACAGGGAGUCAAACUCAUCCCCUAGAAACGUGGUAGGCUAACCCACCGAUGGCGAAUGGAAUGUUCUAGAAAGAAUUUGUAACAAUGAAUUUUCAGCCUUAAAGCCAUUUGAAUAAGGUUUAGUAUUCUUUGAGGAAAUUAAAAUAGGGGACACAGGGUGAUACCGUAAUUCCUCAUCCCAUGGUCCAAAUGGGGUUUCCUUCGCUUUGUGAGUCUAUAGUCUCCCAUCCCACUGCAAUAGGUAGGCAAUCGAAUAGAAUGUUCUAGAAAUAAUUUUUGUCAUUCAAUUUUCUGUUUUAAAUGUAUCAGCAUUGUGUCUAGAUUUCUUUGAGGUAGUUUGAAAAGGUAAAAUAUAUGGAGAUACCUUAAUACCUCAUCCCGUGGUCCAUGUGGGUGUAUGCUCAACCUACCGGAUGUAGGAGGCAAAUCGAAUAGAAUAUUCUAGAAAGAUUUUUGUUCAUAGAAAUUUCUGCUUUAAAUGCAGGCGUUCAAGGUUUAAUAUUGAGUAAUUUUGUGUAAAGUAGGAUAAAAACCCCCUUGGAAGACAGACCUGCGCAUUAAGCGUCGAAUGUUCUAGAAGGUAUUUUGUUCAUAGAAUUUUCUGCUUUAAAUCUAGUUGUUUAAGGUCUAAAUUUCUAUGUAAUAAUCACUAUAUCCCCCUAUUAGUAAACAGGUUAUUGUGGUCCCUCAUCCCGCUGGUGUAGUGUCAUGCGCGUCGCCCGAAUCAUGUUCUAGCGUCGAGUCGCGGCUCUGGUCCAGUGCGCCGCCCGCCGUCUGCCGCGCAUGACGGACUGCUGCUCACAGCCGCCGCCGGCCCCGAGGGCUCUGCAGCCCUACUGGACCGCAGACCACAGUCUCGUAAAGCUUCCACCUAUACGAGCGCCGUCGGCAGAGUGCUGCGGGAGCGCCAGGCUCUGCAGCGCAUUGCAGCGAGCGUCCGCGUUGACGAUGCCUGAGAGGGGCCGCGCCGCCCGGCACAUGCUCCUCACGUCCUCGUGUGUUGUCUAAGCUGAUGGCGGCCUGGAGGGUCACCCCCGCGAGGUGACUGGGGCAGGCGCGAGUCCAAUGGAGGGGGUCACGGGGACAAGGGCUUUUGAAGUCUGGGGCCCGUCGUUACAGUUCAUGUUCCUUUGAUCUUCUCCCAAAGUGUCAUCUUGGGUCCGUGCCUGACCUCUUAGGUUAAGAUGUAAUAGGUUAAGAAAUAAAAGAAUCACAGAGUAGAGAUAACAUUUCACGUCUGAAAAUUAUACGAUUAUGGUACAUAUAAA